GACGAACGCUGGCGGCGUGCUUAACACAUGCAAGUCGAGCGGUAAGGCCCUUUCGGGGGGUACACGAGCGGCGAACGGGUGAGUAACACGUGGGUGACCUGCCCUCAGCUCUGGGAUAAGCCUGGGAAACCGGGUCUAAUACUGGAUAUGACUCCAUGACGCAUGUUGUGGGGUGGAAAGCCUUGUGCGGCUGAGGAUGGGCCCGCGGCCUAUCAGCUUGUUGGUGGGGUGANGGCCUACCAAGGCGACGACGGGUAGCCGGCCUGAGAGGGCGACCGGCCACACUGGGACUGAGACACGGCCCAGACUCCUACGGGAGGCAGCAGUGGGGAAUCUUGCGCAAUGGGCGAAAGCCUGACGCAGCGACGCCGCGUGAGGGAU
rnacentral:rRNA from 1 species